CCCUUUGGGGUGUGACUGCGUACCUUUUGUAUAAUGGGUCAGCGACUUAUAUUCUGUAGCAAGGUUAACCGAAUAGGGGAGCCGGAGGGAAACCGAGUCUUAACCGGGCGUUAAGUUGCAGGGUAUAGACCCGAAACCCGGUGAUCUAGCCAUGGGCAGGUUGAAGGUUGGGUAACACUAACUGGAGGACCGAACCGACUAAUGUUGAAAAAUUAGCGGAUGACCUGUGGCUGGGGGUGAAAGGCCAAUCAAACCGGGAGAUAGCUGGUUCUCCCCGAAAGCUAUUUAGGUAGCGCCUCGUGAAUUCAUCUCCGGGGGUAGAGCACUGUUUCGGCUAGGGGGCCAUCCCGGCUUACCAACCCGAUGCAAACUGCGAAUACCGGAGAAUGUUAUCACGGGAGACACACGGCGGGUGCUAACGUCCGUCGUGAAGAGGGAAACAACCCAGACCGCCAGCUAAGGUCCCAAAGUCAUGGUUAAGUGGGAAACGAUGUGGGAAGGCCCAGACAGCCAGGAUGUUGGCUUAGAAGCAGCCAUCAUUUAAAGAAAGCGUAAUAGCUCACUGGUCGAGUCGGCCUGCGCGGAAGAUGUAACGGGGCUAAACCAUGCACCGAAGCUGCGGCAGCGAACGUAUCACUUAAAGCGAUUCAGCGGGUUACGAUUGACGGAGCGAAGCGACGUCAAAGCGUAUACAAAGUCGAGUCGGUUUAAGGAUACGUUCGUUGGGUAGGGGAGCGUUCUGUAAGCCUGCGAAGGUGGCCUGUGAGGGUUGCUGGAGGUAUCAGAAGUGCGAAUGCUGACAUAAGUAACGAUAAAGCGGGUGAAAAGCCCGCUCGCCGGAAGACCAAGGGUUCCUGUCCAACGUUAAUCGGGGCAGGGUGAGUCGACCCCUAAGGCGAGGCCGAAAGGCGUAGUCGAUGGGAAACGGGUUAAUAUUCCCGUACUUGGUGUUACUGCGAAGGGGGGACGGAGAAGGCUAUGUUGGCCGGGCGACGGUUGUCCCGGUUUAAGCGUGUAGGUGUGUGUUCCAGGUAAAUCCGGUUCACUUUAACACUGAGGCGUGAUGACGAGGCACUACGGUGCUGAAGCAACAAAUGCCCUGCUUCCAGGAAAAGCCUCUAAGCAUCAGGUAACAUCAAAUCGUACCCCAAACCGACACAGGUGGUCAGGUAGAGAAUACCAAGGCGCUUGAGAGAACUCGGGUGAAGGAACUAGGCAAAAUGGUGCCGUAACUUCGGGAGAAGGCACGCUGACAUGUAGGUGAAGUGAUUUACUCACGGAGCUGAAGUCAGUCGAAGAUACCAGCUGGCUGCAACUGUUUAUUAAAAACACAGCACUGUGCAAACACGAAAGUGGACGUAUACGGUGUGACGCCUGCCCGGUGCCGGAAGGUUAAUUGAUGGGGUCAGCGCAAGCGAAGCUCCUGAUCGAAGCCCCGGUAAACGGCGGCCGUAACUAUAACGGUCCUAAGGUAGCGAAAUUCCUUGUCGGGUAAGUUCCGACCUGCACGAAUGGCGUAAUGAUGGCCAGGCUGUCUCCACCCGAGACUCAGUGAAAUUGAACUCGCUGUGAAGAUGCAGUGUACCCGCGGCAAGACGGAAAGACCCCGUGAACCUUUACUAUAGCUUGACACUGAACAUUGAGCCUUGAUGUGUAG
rnacentral:rRNA from 1 species